CUUCGGUUUGGGUGGCGGACGGGUGAGUAACGCGUAAAGAACUUGCCUCACAGAUAGGGACAACAUUUGGAAACGAAUGCUAAUACCUGAUAUUAUGAUUUUAGGGCAUCCUAGGAUUAUGAAAGCUAUAUGCGCUGUGAGAGAGCUUUGCGUCCCAUUAGCUAGUUGGAGAGGUAACGGCUCACCAAGGCGAUGAUGGGUAGCCGGCCUGAGAGGGUGAUCGGCCACAAGGGGACUGAGACACGGCCCUUACUCCUACGGGAGGCAGCAGUGGGGAAUAUUGGACAAUGGACCAAGAGUCUGAUCCAGCAAUUCUGUGUGCACGAUGAAGUUUUUCGGAAUGUAAAGUGCUUUCAGUUGGGAAGAAAAAAAUGACGGUGCCAACAGAAGAAGUGACGGCUAAAUACGUGCCGGCAGCCGCGGUAAUACGUAUGUCACAAGCGUUAUCCGGAUUUAUUGGGCGUAAAGCGCGUCUAGGUGGUUAUGUAAGUCUGAUGUGAAAAUGCAGGGCUCAACUCUGUAUUGCGUUGGAAACCGUGUAACUAGAGUACUGGAGAGGUAAGCGGAACUACAAGUGUAGAGGUGAAAUUCGUAGAUAUUUGUAGGAAUGCCGAUGGGGAAGCCAGCUUACUGGACAGAUACUGACGCUGAAGCGCGAAAGCGUGGGUAGCAAACAGGAUUAGAUACCCUGGUAGUCCACGCCGUAAACGAUGAUUACUAGGUGUUGGGGGUCGAACCUCAGCGCCCAA
rnacentral:rRNA from 1 species